rnacentral:lncRNA from 1 species
GUCACUAGCAUGGUUGUAAGAACAUGGUUGUAGAUUUUAGAAGGGGAGGAGUAGGGAGAGAGUAGAGCAGGCUGCUGUGGGUAGCCCAGGCCUGAGGUGGAGGAGGGGGAGGAUAAGUACUGAGAUUCAUCUCUUAUCCCCCAGCAAACUUCAUCUCAUCUGCUGUGCUCCAAGAGUAUGGGCAUCAGCACAUCCUCCCAGUCUGGAAGGAGGAGGAAUCAGGAGCAUCCAUCUUUCCUCCCCACGCCACAUCUGAACAUAGCACAUUUUCAAAACGUUCCUGCUGCGGACCAUGUGAAUCCAAUCCACCUAAGGCUUCUUUCCAAUAAAGCAGGAAACCAGGAAAUGUUAUUUUCAUCCUAUGGACUUCACUCUUUCCUUUCUCUCCUGCAGAAAGAGGAAAUGAGUUCAGGCCAAGAACAAAACCACAAAAUCCAGCCUGGUGCAGGGAAGUUAGCCUCUUAUCUUCCUUUUCCCCUAUCCCUCCGGUGGGAAACCCUAAGAGUUUUGUUUUGUUUGUGUUUAAGACCUUCCCUGGAAAAAAAAUCAUCUUUCGCUGUUGUGUCUAAUUCAAUAUGAAUGACAGGCUUCCUAUCCAGCAUUGGUGUUUUUUAUAAACUCGCAAAUUCUUGUUGCUUUUGUUUCGCAAGUCCACUGGGGUCAUCUUGAGCUCUUGGC